rnacentral:rRNA from 1 species
CCUACGGGAGGCAGCAGUGAGGAAUAUUGGUCAAUGGGCGCGAGCCUGAACCAGCCAAGUAGCGUGAAGGAUGAGUGCACUACGGGGUGUAAACUUCUUUUAUAAAGGAAUAAAGUGAGGCACGUGUGCCUUUUUGUAUGUACUUUAUGAAUAAGGAUCGGCUAACUCCGUGCCAGCAGCCGCGGUAAUACGGAGGGUCAGAGCGUUAUCCGGAUUGAGUGGGUUUAAAGGGAGCGUAGAUGGGUGGUUAAGUCAGUUGUGAAAUGCCCCCGCGCCACGGGGUGAAGUGCCAUUGAGACUGCCUUGCUGGACUGCGGCUGCCGUGGGCGGAAUGUGUGGUGUAGCGGUGAAAUGCAUAGAUAUCACACAGAACACCGAUUGCGAAGGCAUCUCACGACUCCGCGAUUGACGCUGAUGCACGAAAGCGUGGGUAUCAAACAGGAUUAGAUACCCUUGUAGUC